GAAGCAGAAGGAAGGGUCCAAGGACUAUCAACUGGUGACGUGGUCCCGGGAUCAGACCUUGAGAAUGUGGCGGGUGGAUUCCCAGAUGCAGAGGCUUUGUGCAAAUGACAUAUUAGAUGGUGUCGAUGAGUUCAUUGAGAGUAUUUCCCUUCUGCCGGAACCCGAGAAGACCCUGCACACUGAAGAUACAGAUCACCAGCACAAUGCAAGCCAUGGGGAGGAAGAAGCCCUAAAAGAAGAUCCCCCUAGAAAUCUCCUGGAAGAGAGGAAAUCAGAUCAACUGGGGCUGCCUCAGACCUUGCAGCAGGAAUUCUCCCUGAUCAAUGUGCAAAUCCGGAAUGUCAAUGUGGAGGUACUUAGUUUAAUCAACUGUAUCUCAUGUUUGCUGAUGGCAGUUUGUGGGAGAGGGAACCAUUUCAGCAAUGAUUUCGGUUAGCAAAUAGCUUUGCAGCUUUAACAGAACUCUCUCUGCUUGCUUUUUUAUUUCCUGGGUUUUCUGGCCAGGCGCAGUGGCUCACGCCUGUAAUCCCAGCACUUUGGGA
rnacentral:sRNA from 1 species